UAAUAAGGCAGGUACAAGUAUUAAUACAACUUCUGAUAAUGGUUGCAAUAUAGGAUAAUAUAACAUAGGAAUAAUUUAAAUAUUUAUUCUAUUUUAUAUCAUUUUACAUUUUAAUACAGCUAAACGGCUAUAAUGCAAAAUGUAUAUUAUUAAGAAAUAAUUAUUAUAUAAGUAAUAAUAAGAAUAUAUUUCUUAUUUCCUUUUUAGAUUCGAACUAAAACCAAUGAAUUAGAAGAUCAUUGUUCUACCAUUAAACUAAAGGAAAUAACAGAUUAGCUUACUACAAAGCAAGGUGGAGGGUAAUGCAUAAUAUAAUAUAAAUUAUAAACUGAAAACCCAAAAUACUAAAUUAAUAGUAUCUUAAAUAGAAAAUAUAUUAAAUAAUAAUCUUAAUAUAUUUAGUUAGUUUUAUUUAAAAAUAAUUCAGAUUUAUUAGAUAAAUCAGUUAAACUAUUAUCUAAGUAACUAGCUAAAGGUAAUAUAGCAACAAAAUAACUAAAGUAUAAUACAGUACUUAAUUGACCUAAUAAUAUAAAUGGAUCUUCAACGUGUUUAGCACCUAAUUGCAUUAAAACUAAGAAAUUAGCAACAAAAACUCAGAAAGCUAUUUUACUAAAUGGUCUAAAUUGUAAACCUCUAGAUCUACCUAAAUCUGUAACAGGUAAUAACAUAAUAGCUAAAAUAGCACUAAACAUCGCUAUAACACCUAAUAAUUUAUUAGGUAUAGAUCUUAAAAU
rnacentral:tRNA from 1 species